GUGAGACACAUUCUCGCGUAGACAUAUUUAGAGCAAGUUUCACUGCCUUUAUUUUACCACUUAGACCGCAGCCCGCCUCAAGAUUUAUUUGCCUCCCCGACAAUAACUCAAACAUUUCAAGUUUGGCUAAUUGUGUCUUUCCCAUCAGGCGUGUGACUCACAGCCCGUUUUUGUAUUUUAACAGUCUCCCAGCCAAUUAGAAGCCCAACUUUUUUUUUUUUUGUUGCUGUUGAUGGGAGAGGGGCAGAGCGGUGACCUCAUGCGUGCUACGCGCUUUCAUCGACUCGCUCGCACAGUCAGUCUGCCUUAUAAUCCAAAUUGCUUUACUCACGUUGGGCUGACAAUAAAAACGGAGUGGAAAAUCAUUCAGGGUGUGAGACUGUACGUGGGUGUGGGAUCUUUCCGCUGGCUGAUCUCAAGCAUCACUCUAAAGUUUCUUUGUGCAGACCAAGAUUGUGUGUCUGCUUUGCUUUCAAAUAAAAUGAUACUGUUGACAUUUAGCUGACACCAUUUAGCUCCUACUUGUUUCAUUUGUUUUUAUUAAAUUAGACUAGACUCUUCUGGUAGAUAUUGUUGGUGAAAUUUUAAGCUGCCUUUUCUUUUUAAAUUCUGAACUUUACAUACUCAAUUUCUAUGUGUUUAGUAGAAUCAGGGACAACAUGUUGGGGUGAGGUUUUAAAAAAAACGCCUGGACUUGCACACCAGUGUUUUUGCUUAUUGGCCUAUCGGAUUAUAUCUACCCUAUAAGCACUAUGACUUUCAAAAUAUGUAUAGAACUACAGCUUUGAGAUUUAAAGGCUAUUUCUUGCCACAAUAUGCGUUUGGUCAUAUUUGUAAUGCCUAAUUAUAAAACUGUGCUAAAUGUUUAACUAAAUUUAUUCUUAACAUCACAUUGUUAAAAGCCAGCUCUUCGCCUGUGAGUCUCCUGUCUCUCUAUCAGCAUAUCUAGCAUGUGAACACUGGUACUAUUUAGGUGCAACAAUUAUAAAUAAAUGAAUUAUUGAAAUUAAUUAAUAUACUUUACUAAUCCCAAGGGGAAAAGCAUAUUGAUGGUACAGCUGUAGUCUGAAG